rnacentral:lncRNA from 1 species
AGUGAAAAACACCAGGCAAUACAGGAGCGAGCAGCACAAGUCUUUAAAGGACUUGUUCCCCAAGUACAAGGUAAUUAUAGCAGCUGGCGGCUGGAACAGACAUUGGUACUGCUGAAAUGCCAAAGCCUGCUGAACCGGCUGAAGACCCAAUUGACGAAGCUAUAACCAAGCUUCCAUCACAGCUAGCAUUACUGCAAGAGUGCGGACAGCGGCUGUCACAUCCUGCCUUCAGAGGUGUCAGUGAAGAACACCAGGCAAGACAGGAGCGAGCAGCACAAGUUCAUAACGGAUUUUUAUGCCGACAACAAGGCUAUCAUCGCCAAGCCAGCGCGCCAUGAGGCCCUGUGGGGCUUCAUGGCGCGCUGGAGAAGCUUGUCGCGGACCCAGCUCGCCUGAUGAACCGAGGUGUCAGUGAAGAACACCAGGCAAGAUGGAAGCGAACAGCACGGAUUUAUGCCGACAAACAAGGCUAUCCUCGCCAAGCCAGCGCGCCAUGAGGCCCUGUGGGGCUUCAUGGCGCGCUGGAGUAGCUUGCCGCGGACCCAGCUCGACUGAUGAACCGAGGUGUCAGUGAAAAACACCAGGCAAUACAGGAGCGAGCAGCACAAGUCUUUAAAGGACUUGUUCCCCAAGUACAAGGUAAUUAUAGCAGCUGGCGGCUGGAACAGACAUUGGUACUGCUGAAAUGCCAAAGCCUGCUGAACCGGCUGAAGACCCAAUUGACGAAGCUAUAACCAAGCUUCCAUCACAGCUAGCAUUACUGCAAGAGUGCGGACAGCGGCUGUCACAUCCUGCCUUCAGAGGUGUCAGUGAAGAACACCAGGCAAGACAGGAGCGAGCAGCACAAGUUCAUAACGGAUUUUUAUGCCGACAACAAGGCUAUCAUCGCCAAGCCAGCGCGCCAUGAGGCCCUGUGGGGCUUCAUGGCGCGCUGGAGAAGCUUGUCGCGGACCCAGCUCGCCUGAUGA